rnacentral:rRNA from 1 species
GUAGUCCACGCCGUAAACUAUGGAUGCUAGCUGUCGGGGGGUAUCGACCCCCUCGGUAGCGAAGCUAACGCGUUAAGCAUCCCACCUGUGGAGUACGAGCGCAAGCUUAAAACAUAAAGGAAUUGACGGGGACCCGCACAAGUGGCGGAUCGUGUUCUUUAAUUCGAUGAUAAACGAAGAACCUUACCAGGGUUUGACAUCCUUGGAAUCUGAGCGAAAGCUCGGAGUGCUUUAUUGAACCAAGUGACAGGUGAUGCAUGGCCGUCGUCAGCUCGUGUCGUGAGAUGUUUGGUUAAG